UGCACGAGUUGAGCGCGCGCUGACGCGCCGGUUAGCGCGGCCUUCGAAAAACCGGCGUCCGCGCCGGUUUUUUCGU
rnacentral:antisense_RNA from 1 species